rnacentral:rRNA from 1 species
UGGGGAAUAUUGCACAAUGGGCGCAAGCCUGAUGCAGCCAUGCCGCGUGUAUGAAGAAGGCCUUCGGGUUGUAAAGUACUUUCAGCGGGGAGGAAGGCGAUAAGGUUAAUAACCUUGUCGAUUGACGUUACCCGCAGAAGAAGCACCGGCUAACUCCGUGCCAGCAGCCGCGGUAAUACGGAGGGUGCAAGCGUUAAUCGGAAUUACUGGGCGUAAAGCGCACGCAGGCGGUCUGUCAAGUCGGAUGUGAAAUCCCCGGGCUCAACCUGGGAACUGCAUUCGAAACUGGCAGGCUAGAGUCUUGUAGAGGGGGGUAGAAUUCCAGGUGUAGCGGUGAAAUGCGUAGAGAUCUGGAGGAAUACCGGUGGCGAAGGCGGCCCCCUGGACAAAGACUGACGCUCAGGUGCGAAAGCGUGGGGAGAAAACA